rnacentral:rRNA from 1 species
UACGUAGGGUCCGAGCGUUGUCCGGAAUUAUUGGGCGUAAAGGGCUCGUAGGCGGUUUGUCGCGUCGGGAGUGAAAACACGGGGCUUAACCCCGUGCCUGCUUCCGAUACGGGCAGACUAGAGGUAUGCAGGGGAGAACGGAAUUCCUGGUGUAGCGGUGAAAUGCGCAGAUAUCAGGAGGAACACCGGUGGCGAAGGCGGUUCUCUGGAACGCAACUGACGCUGAGACGCGAAAGCGUGGGGAGCAAACAGG